UGACAGUAUUGACACUUGUUGGUUUACAAAUACAAUAAAUGAAUUCUAAUAAAAGAAACAGUAGACUCAGUAGAGGUACGAGGUACUGGAAAAAUAUUAAUUAAUGGAGAAGCCGAAGUUGGAGGAAAACAAGAAGAUUCGAGGAGAAUGAUGUGGCACUUAAUGCCGCCGGGACAGUAACCUAGCUGCAGCUCCAACUCUAGGGAUUGGGCUGAAUGAACGCAACACGUGAUCGACAGCCCACCUGCUUCCUGCCGAGCGUCCCUACACUACCUCUACAUGGAUGCCUCGCUUAUUCUGCUCUACAAAACUUCUGAGCUGAUACAAGCAGCCAGAAUGAGUCUCUGCUGAGUCGCCGGCGCCGGACGUGCGUCGCGCGCCUCGGGCGUCUGACGUCUUCGUGUCAGUCGCCAAUUGCAGGAGAAGAUACGAAUAGUUAGGUAUAAAAGCUACUUUAGUCAACCUCGCCUCAGUACUGUUUGUAUUGACUGAAAUACAAGUAGCAUAUAUGAGACGUUCGGACGUAUCCGUGAAAAUACGAAGGUAAAGGAAAUUGCACUACAUUUUUAGAACCUAUUCACCUGUCAGUAAAAUAUUGAAAAGGAAUGUUCAUGAGUUUUAUAAUUUUCUUUCCUCCAACAGCUUCACAUGGAGCAAAUGUAAACCUUUUAUGUUAAUAAUAUCAGUAAUGUCAAGGUACAACGCUCUUUAGAUCAUAUUGCCAUUCCUUUUACUCGAGCGGCCUGUGGGUUAACUAUACGAAGCGAGCCUACAAUGCAUUAAAAGUGCAGUAUAACAAUGCAUUCAGAAUGCUGUUGGGCUUACCUCGUAGAUGUAGUGCAUCUGGCAUGUUUUGCGAAGCUAGAAGUUUUCUGGCAAUCAUGCGCAAGAAAAUAGUAUCUCUGCUAGGUCGAGUUAGAAGCAGUCCCAAACAUACAUGUUCGAAAAGUAGAACUCCCUUAGAUCGUGUUUCAAUUUAUCGCCUCUCGUUGGCAAUUAAGGUGGUUCGCUUUCCAUACAAAAAACAAUUAAGUACCUAAUAGUGUGUAAUUACUUAAUAUAACGCAAUUGUUUUUAGUAUGGAAAGCGAACCACCUUAACUAUUCGCACAACGUUUUGUAGUUGCAGUAAGUACUUACAUAUGGCCGGUAAAAUUUUCGAAAUAGGUAUGUAUUUACGUACAGUGCUAAUUGCCGCACAUAGAAUAAUUAAAGUUUGAUCAAUCGGAAUAUGUUCAUAAGUCACUUAUUACAUUUCGAUUUAUAAGUCUGUAUUUUCCAGCUUUAGAUGUGCAUGACUGCAUAUGCACAUCUAAAGCUGAAAAAUGCUUUCAUGAAUACGUUUAUAAUUAUGGCUAAAUUAUGUUAAUAGGGACAAAUGUAUCAUUUUCAACCAAAGGGUACUUAUUAUCUGUUGUCAAUAAGGCGCUAUUUCCAUAAAGCUUCAAUUUGAAAUCAGCCUCGUCGACAACCGACAAUGUUAACCUUUUGGUUGAAAACGUCACAAAUUAUGGCGAUAGAGAAUACAAUGUUCUGUUGCCAGAGUGCAGCACUAGUAAAACCCGUAAACGAGUGAAUUGCAAAAAAGUGUAGGUAACACAAUGGAAUAUUCACAAAAAUAUGCAAGAAUGUAACACAAAAUGAAGAAAAUGUAUGUGUUUUUUUUUGUGUUACGUCACACAAAGGAAGCCAAAAUCGACGCCGCAAUAUUUUUCACGACGUGUAGAAUAAAAGUGGCGUCGAAUUCAGGAAUCCGCAAAUACCAUACCGAUAGCCAAGUAAUUUAUCUAUAGAACAAUGUUAAAACAGUAGUACAAACGGUUAGCUUUGCAAACUUUUAGUAGAUUGGUUUGGUUUUGGUAGAUCUCUCGGUUUGGCAUGCUUGAUGCUCUUCACAUCACCACAGACGGAGGUCGACAGUUCGAAUCUGUCUUGUUCAACCAAUUGAUGGAGGCACAUGCACGCAUACGAACCACAUAUUACACUACCAUCCUGGAGCUAAUUGGAUUAUUUGCAUUUACUAUUAUAGUAUAUACCUAUGCCUUAUUUUUACGCCUA